rfam:Ornithorhynchus anatinus chromosome 3, whole genome shotgun sequence.
CCCUUCUCAGGGUCGCACCUGGAGAGUUUCCAGUACUCUACCAGUUGCGGCUAAGGGAGGGAGAGUCAAGCAGAAGCUUACCUAUUUUAUUCCUAAUUUGGGCAGUGGCUGGUGAGUGGAAGCCAAUCUGCUACAAGU